rnacentral:rRNA from 1 species
UACGGGGGGGGCAAGCGUUGUUCGGAAUUACUGGGCGUAAAGGGCCAGUAGGCGGCCAACUAAGUCCGACGUGAAAUCCCAAGGCUUAACCUUGGAACUGCGUCGGAUACUGGAUGGCUUGAAUUCGGGAGAGGGAUGCAGAAUUCCAGGUGUAGCGGUGAAAUGCGUAGAUAUCGGGAGGAACAUCAGUGGCGAAGGCGGCUGCCUGGCCCAAUACUGACACUCAGGUGCGACAGCGUGGGGAGCAAACAGG